UCUUUUUUGCAAUGAGAAACACCACAGUGACUAUGUUUCCAGAGACAUGCGAUACAUGCCAAAUUAAAACACAAAUUUAGUCAAAGCCACAACUUUGUGCUUGGCAUGGAUUUUAAUUAAAGCUCUAUCAAUUCUGAGGGUGAACAGGUACAUGCCAAAGUAAAGCGUAAGAUAAGUCAAAGUCCCUCUUCAUUAUCAGCAUAAUAAAUAGAAACUAGAAUUAAUAAAUGUAAUGUAAUUUAUGUAGUUUCAGAUUUUAAGUAUUAACUUCAAAAUCAUUACAUAAUUAGGUCAAUCAAGAAUAAUACAAAGUAAUAAACAAAAAAAGUACUCCAAAAUUGCUUUAAAGAUCUUUAUAUGUUUCAGAACCAUACACAGUUUGCACUCCCUAUGCUCCUAAAGAAUUAAUGUGCACAGGAACAAACAGAAUAUAUCGGAAAAUUGUUUUGAUAGUAAAUGAUACAGUUUUCUCUUAAUGACUAUUAUAGUAUUUUAAAUUCUUCAUUGCGAAUAUGCUCCCUCUCUCCCCUCAAUCACUAAUACCUUGACAGAAUGAGUAAUAAAUAAAUAAGAAAAAAAAUUCAGUUUAUCAUUCGCCUUCUUGCCUCCCAGUACCACUCGACCAAGGUAGCCCACGAAGAGCUUUGCUGUAAGAAAUAUUGUCAUUCCACAGAAUCCACUAAGAUUUCAGAAAGACACCAGUUUUAGAGUAGUGUCCAGCUAAACAGUCAUGCUGAGUGAAAAGUCCAACAAUUGUGGCUGCCUUAUGCCUGGGCCAUUCAGGUCUUUGUAAUGCAAGUGUCAAUGAAAGCUGUAUGUAUUGUUGAUGGUUUUAAAGUAGUGGUCAGACGCAGGGAUAUAAAGAUGCUUUUAGUCUUUUUUGCAAUGAGAAACACCACAGUGACUAUGUUUCCAGAGACAUGCGAUACAUGCCAAAUUAAAACACAAAUUUAGUCAAAGCCACAACUUUGUGCUUGGCAUGGAUUUUAAUUAAAGCUCUAUCAAUUCUGAGGGUGAA